rnacentral:tRNA from 1 species
GGGGUUGUGGCUCAGUGGUAGAGUGCUUGCCUAGCAUGUGUGAGGCCCUGGGUUCGAUUCUCAGCACCA